rnacentral:tRNA from 1 species
AGGAAAUUAGUUAAAACUUAUAACAUAAGAAUGUCAAUCUUAAAUUAUUAUUAAAUAAUAUUACCUG